GAUGAACGCUAGCGGCAGGCCUAAUACAUGCAAGUCGAACGGGACUUGGUAGCAAUAUCAAGAUUAGUGGCGCACGGGUGCUUAACACGUAUGCAAUCUACCCAUAACAUGAGGAUAGCCCCCCCGGGAAACGGGGAUUAAUACUCAAUAAUGAAUUUGAAUGGCAUCAUUUAAAUUUUAAAGAUUUAUCGGUUAUGGAU
rnacentral:rRNA from 1 species